rnacentral:tRNA from 1 species
GAGGGUGUAGCUCAGUGGUACAGUUUUUGCUUAGCAUGCACGAGGUCCUGGGUUCAAUCCCCAGUCCCUCCA